UUGUUCAAUUUGUGUUUAUAAAACUUUGAUUACAAGUAGUCCAGAAGAAGCUACUAGGAGGAUACAUGAGUUGCAGCAGCAACAGAUGUUAUGCUGGAAAACCACAUACAAAUGGGCAUUCAUGUGAAUUUUGGGUUUUUUUGAUGGGAUGCUUUGAUUGGUCAGAUGAUAGCAACUGAAGAUGAUACAAUGUCAUAUAAAACUCCUGCCAAACUUUAUGGGUAUAUUUCCAUGUUAUCACUUAGUUAGGUGAUACUGAUUAUUGCUACUUAACUUGGUAUGCACAUUCAAAAUGUCGAGUAUAAACCCCUCAACUUCAAGAAACAUUCCAAGAUUUGUUACUCACAGUUUAUAUUAUAGGGAAGAGUGUAUGCAACUGUUGUAUUGAUUUUUUUACAUUGGGUACAAAAUAACUUUGUAUA